AUGAUUGAUUACUAUUAUUAUUAUAUCUUACAAAUGAUGACAUUACCUAUAGUACUGUUCAAACUAAUUUUUUUAUUUGUGCAGAUCAUAGUCAAAUCUAUUGUUGCUGAAAUUGGUGGUGGAGUUUUCUGUUUAUUGGUUGAUGAGUCCACUGAUGUUUCAGGCAAGGAACAAAUGGCUGUAGUUUUGCGGUAUGUCGACGAGUUCGGAGCAGUCCAAGAAAGACUUAUUGGUGUUGUUCAUGUGAAUGAGACAUCUGAUUCAUGUCUCAAAUCCGGCAUUGAUCAGUUGUUCAAGAAGUAUGGAUUGAACGUAAAACAAGUUCGAGGCCAAGGGUACGACGGGGCUAGCAACAUGAGAGGUGAGUUCAAUGGCUUGAGAGCUUUGAUCAUGAGGGAGAAUAGCUCAGCAUAUUAUGUUCACUGCUUCGCUCACCAACUCCAGUUAGUCAUUGUGGCAGUAGCUAAAAAGAAUGAUGAUGUUAGUGACUUCUUUGACAUGAUAGCCCUUCUGCUUAAUGUGGCCGGAGCUUCUUGUAAACGAAAAGACUUGAUUAGGGAGAGUCAGCAAGAAAGAGUGAAGAAAAUUAUUGGUUGUGGACAACUUAGUACUGGAACGGGAUUAAAUCAAGAGCUAUCACUUCAAAGAGCUGGAGACACUCGUUGGGGUUCUCACUAUAAAACUCUUCGGAGCAUACUUAACUUGUUCCCAGAUGUUAUUGAAGUACUCAAGUAUGUUGAAAAAGAUGGGCCAAGUGAUGCAAAGAAGCGUCAAGCUCGUGGUCUUUUAGAUUAUGUUACUGAUUUUGACUUCGUGUUUCAUCUACACUUGAUGUUUCUUAUCUUGGGACAUGCAAAUGCUUUAUCUCUAUCUUUACAGAGGAAAGAUAAGGACAUCUUGGAGGCUAUGGUAGAGGUGAAGUUAACCAAGCAAAACUUUCAGAAAAUCAGAGAUGACGGUUGGGAGUCUCUAUUGGAGAGACCUCACUCAUUUUGUGAGCUGUAUGAUAUUCCUAAGUUGGAUAUGGAAGAAGAGUAUAUAGACCGGCAUAAACCAAGGAAAAAAACCAACCGCACUAACUAUCAGCACUACAGAUAUGAUUGCCUCAACCCUGUUAUUGACUUGCAGCUUGCAGAGUUCAAUGAUCGUUUUAAUGAAGUAAAUUCGAGCCUUCUUACCCGAAUGGCUGCAUUCUGUCCAAAAGAUUCCUUUGAAGCUUUCGAUGUUGAGAGCUUAGUUGAUUUGGCUAAGUCCUAUCCAGAUGAUUUUGAUUCUAUCCAGUUGAAGGAACUUGCUCAUGAGCUUCCUUUCUACAUUGAUAAUGUGCGAGCAGACGAAAGAUUUACAGGCCUGAAAACUAUUUCUGAACUUGGUAAGCUGAUGGUUAGUACAAAUAAGCAUCUUGCUUUUCCUUUGGUCUAUCAGCUCCUGAAGCUAGUAUUAGUGCUGCCUGUCGCAACUGCAUCAGUGGAGAGAUGUUUCUCUGGAAUGAAAAUAGUGAAGACUGUGCUACGUAAUCGCAUUGGUGAUGAUUUCAUGAACUACUGCAUCAUUUGUUUCUUGGAGCAAAGACUUCUAUAUUCAACUUCACGUAAGGAUGUAAUAGAUUACUUUUUGAAGAUGAAAGAACGUAGAGGUCAAGAAAAAUAG
rnacentral:rRNA from 1 species